UCAGACGAUGCGUCAUGCAUAUCAAUAAGCGGAGGAAAAGAAACUAACAAGGAUUCCCUCAGUAACGGCGAGUGAAGCGGGAAGAGCUCAAAUUUGAAAUCUUGAAAGGUCAUCUUUCACGAAUUGUAGUUUAAAGAAGUGUUUUCUGUUACGAUCGUAAUAUAAGUUCUUUGGAAUAGGACAUCACAGAGGGUGAGAAUCCCGUCUAUGAUUGCGAUUUGUAGCUUUGUGAUACACUUUCAAAGAGUCGGAUUGUUUGGGAAUGCAGUCCAAAAUGGGUAGGUAAAUUUCAUCUAAGGCUAAAUAUUGGCGAGAGACCGAUAGCGAACAAGUACCGUGAGGGAAAGAUGAAAAGAACUUUGAAAAGAGAGUUAAAUAGUACGUGAAAUUGUCAAAAGGGAAGCGUUUAACACCAGUGUUGUUUUCUGAAAAUCAACCUCUGUUAGCUUUAUGCAUGUUUGUUUAGACCUAAUCAGCUAUCUUUCAUGUUCUAUUGUUUGCAGUGGUGCACUUUUCAGUUUACAGGUCAACAUCAGUUUUUUUUACCGUAAAAAAGUUAAAGAAAGGUAGCUCAUGGCUCCGGUCGUGAGUGUUAUAGUCUUUUUCCUAUGCGGUAGGAGAGACUGAGGUCUGCAGUGUAGGCUAUUUGGCUAGAUACUCAGGUGCUAUGUGAUACCAUUUCAUAAACAACUUGUUGAUUAUGUUUUGUCUAUUGCAUACUCGCUUGUACUAUCAUACCUACGCUUAGGAUGUUGACUGAUAUGUAGUCGUA
rnacentral:rRNA from 1 species